rnacentral:rRNA from 1 species
GACGAACGCUGGCGGCGUGCUUAACACAUGCAAGUCGAACGGAAAGGCCCUGCUUUUGUGGGGUGCUCGAGUGGCGAACGGGUGAGUAACACGUGAGUAACCUGCCCUUGACUUUGGGAUAACUUCAGGAAACUGGGGCUAAUACCGGAUAGGAGCUCCUGCUGCAUGGUGGGGGUUGGAAAGUUUCGGCGGUUGGGGAUGGACUCGCGGCUUAUCAGCAUGUUGGUGGGGUAGUGGCUUACCAAGGCUUUGACGGGUAGCCGGCCUGAGAGGGUGACCGGCCACAUUGGGACUGAGAUACGGCCCAGACUCCUACGGGAGGCAGCAGUGGUGAAUAUUGCACAAUGGGCGGAAGCCUGAUGCAGCAACGCCGCGUGCGGGAUGACGGCCUUCGGGUUGUAAACCGCUUUCGCCUGUGACGAAGCGUGAGUGACGGUAAUGGGUAAAGAAGCACCGGCUAACUACGUG